CGGGAAAUCUCCAGCAGGGAAUCUCCACCCGGAAAUCUCCACCAGAAUCUCCACUGGGAAAUCUCCACCAGGAAAUCACCAGGAAAUGUCCAUUGGGAAAUGUCCAUUGGGAAAU
rnacentral:lncRNA from 1 species